CGGAGUGGUGGAAUUGGUAGACACGUCGGACUCAAAAUCCGAUGCGGGUUAUUCCGUGUGAGGGUUCGAGUCCCUCCUCCGGUA
rnacentral:tRNA from 1 species